rnacentral:rRNA from 1 species
UACGGAGGGGGCAAGCGUUGUUCGGAAUUACUGGGCGUAAAGGGUGCGUAGGCGGGUCUUUUAAGUCAGGGGUGAAAUCCUGGAGCUCAACUCCAGAACUGCCUUUGAUACUGGAGAGCUCGAGUCCGGAAGAGGUGAGUGGAACUCCGAGUGUAGAGGUGAAAUUCGUAGAUAUUCGGAAGAACACCAGUGGCGAAGGCGGCUCACUGGUCCGGUACUGACGCUGAUGUGCGAAAGCGUGGGGAGCAAACAGG